rnacentral:rRNA from 1 species
UGGGGAAUUUUCCGCAAUGGGCGCAAGCCUGACGGAGCAAUACCGCGUGAGGGAGGAAGGCCUUUGGGUUGUAAACCUCUUUUCUUAAGGAAGAAGAACUGACGGUACUUAAGGAAUCAGCAUCGGCUAACUCCGUGCCAGCAGCCGCGGUAAUACGGAGGAUGCAAGCGUUAUCCGGAAUCACUGGGCGUAAAGCGUCUGUAGGUUGUUUAGUAAGUCUGCUGUUAAAGAUUGGGGCUCAACCCCAAAGCAGCAGUGGAAACUGCUAAGCUAGAGUAUGGUAAGGGUAAAGGGAAUUCCCAGUGUAGCGGUGAAAUGCGUAGAUAUUGGGAAGAACACCAGAGGCGAAAGCGCUUUACUAGACCAUUGCUGACACUCAGAGACGAAAGCUAGGGGAGCGAAUGGGAUUAGAUACCCCCGUAGUCC